CUACGGGGGGCUCCAGUGAGGAGUUUUGCGCAAUGGGGGAAACCCUGACGCAGCAACGCCGCGUGAGCGAAGAAGGCCUUCGGGUCGUAAAGCUCUGUCAAGUGGGAAAAACGUUUUCCGGUGAAUAGCCGGGAGAUCUGAUGGUACCGCUGAAGGAAGCACCGGCUAACUCCGUGCCAGCAGCCGCGGUAAUACGGAGGGUGCAAGCGUUGUUCGGAAUUAUUGGGCGUAAAGAGCGUGUAGGCGGUUUAGUAAGUCAGAUGUGAAAGCCCUGGGCUUAACCCAGGAAGUGCAUUUGAAACUGCUUUACUUGAGUAUGGGAGAGGAGAGUGGAAUUCCUGGUGUAGAGGUGAAAUUCGUAGAUAUCAGGAGGAACAUCUGUGGCGAAGGCGACUCUCUGGACCAAUACUGACGCUGAGACGCGAAAGCGUGGGUAGCAAACAGGAUUAGAUACCCUCGUAGUC
rnacentral:rRNA from 1 species